CAGUAGUUCUGUGAGGUCUGCCUGGAGAAGGCAAUGGGCAGGAUUCCCUGAGUGAACGAGUUGAGGCGGCCCCGACUGCCGCUCCCGCCCCCGGGGGUCCCGGAGCUCAGGAAGGCGGCCGCCGGCACGUGCACUCCGGCUGAGGACGCAGCUCCUGUUAUAAAUGCACACCCCGGGGUGCACAAGAACCCCAAACCCUACCAGUGUCUUCUAUUAAGUACCUGUCCAAGGAUGCAAUGACCCUUUCAGAGCUGCAACGACGGAUCUGGGAGGGGUCGCAGUAUGCUGUACCCCAGCCCCACCGCCAACAACCUUCUGUUCUGGAGUAGAGGGGGCUUUGCCGUGGACCAUCUGAAAAUGCUUGCAGCUUUCCGUCUGCGGUUUGGGUGACUUAUCAAAGGCAGUAGUAACAGUUGUCACACUGACGAGUUCUCUGACAUCUAAGAAACCUCUCUACACUUUCCUGAGGGAGAAGCAAUGUGUUUAAGAUCAAGUGAUUAAUUUAAUUAAAGGUUUAAAUUUAGCCUUGGAGCUAAUGGGUAACUCUACAUUGAAAUUCCACUCCAUUUCAAGUUCAGGAAAGUAAAUUGAGUAAUGCAGGGCAAAUACACCCUUCCAGAGACAUGCCGCCAGCCUGGAGGAGGAGAUAUGGGUGAGUUCAGGUUACAGUGGCUUAGGCCAAACUCGGCACAUGGCCCUUUACAUGAACAGUUGUUCAUUUUUUAUUUUAUGCCAUUUUUAGGCCUUUUGAAAAAGUGGAACCAAGAGUCUAGAGCAGCCUUAUUGCAGCUAAGUGACCAGCUCUGUGUAAUUUCAUUAGGAUUUUAAUUACUCUGUUUAACUUCUUGAAACUCCCAAGUUACUCUAUUACAACUAACUUAAUUUACUUGACCACUGUUUGGUUGUGCUGGCAGGCAGUGUUUAAAAAAACCACCUCCACUGCACAUGUAAAAGAAAGACUUUUUAAAUCACAAAAGUGAUAUAUAUUAAUUGCAGAACAUUUACAGAAUAAGUAAAGAGAAGUAGGGGAAAAAAAGCUCCAUUAACAACCUCAUCUUGUAUGGAAAUAACUAUUACAAUUUUGAUUCCUUCCUGUGUUUAUUAAACAGGUUAAAGCAGG